rnacentral:rRNA from 1 species
UCGGGAAUUUUGGGCAAUGGGCGCAAGCCUGACCCAGCAACGCCGCGUGAGGGAUGAAGGCCCUCGGGUCGUAAACCUCUGUCGGGAGGGAAGAAAGGUCUUCGAGCGAAUAGGUCGAGGGCUUGACGGUACCUCCAAAGGAAGCGCCGGCUAACUCCGUGCCAGCAGCCGCGGUAAUACGGAGGGCGCAAGCGUUGUUCGGAAUCAUUGGGCGUAAAGCGCGUGUAGGCGGCUUGGUAAGUCGGGUGUGAAAGCCCGGGGCUCAACCCCGGAACUGCACUCGAUACUGCCUCGCUAGAGUCCCGGAGAGGAAGGCGGAAUUCCAGGUGUAGAGGUGAAAUUCGUAGAUAUCUGGAGGAACACCAGCGGCGAAGGCGGCCUUCUGGACGGUGACUGACGCUGAGACGCGAAAGCGUGGGGAGCAAACAGGAUUAGAUACCCCCGUAGUCC